AGUGAACGCUGGCGGUAGGCCUAACACAUGCAAGUCGAACGGCAGCACAGUAAGAGCUUGCUCUUACGGGUGGCGAGUGGCGGACGGGUGAGGAAUACAUCGUAAUCUACUUUUUCGUGGGGGAUAACGUAGGGAAACUUACGCUAAUACCGCAUACGACCUACGGUUGAAAGCAUGGGAUCUUCGGACCUUGCGCGAUUGAAUGAGCCGAUGUCGGAUUAGCUAGUUGGCGGGGUAAAGGCCCACCAAGGCGACGAUCCGUAGCUGGUCUGAGAGGAUGAUCAGCCACACUGGAACUGAGACACGGUCCAGACUCCUAAGGGAGGCAGCAGUGGGGAAUAUUGGACAAUGGGCGCAAGCCUGAUCCAGCCAGACCGCGUGGGUGAAGAAGGCCUUCGGGUUGUAAAGACCUUUUGUUGGGAAAGAAAAGCAGCAGGUUAAUACCCCGCUGUUCUGACGGUACCCAAAGAAUAAGCACCGGCUAACUUCGUG
rnacentral:rRNA from 1 species